UUCAGAUCAAUGGAUUACCACCCAAGAAUCACACUUAUUGUGGCCCAGAAGCGACAUCAAACUCGUCUAUUUCCAAAGGGUAGGAUGGAUGGAACCUCCAGUGGCAAUGUGCCACCAGGGACAGUUGUGGACACAAAUAUUGUGCACCCUUUUGAGUUUGAUUUUUACCUUUGUAGCCACUACGGAAGCCUUGGAACAAGCAAGCCCACUCACUACCAUGUCUUAUGGGAUGAGCACGGGUUUACUUCUGAUCAGUUGCAGAAGCUUAUAUAUAACAUGUGCUUCACCUUUGCUCGGUGUACUAAGCCUGUGUCAUUGGUACCGCCUGUGUACUAUGCUGACCUUGUUGCGUACAGAGGUCGCUUGUACCAUGAGGCAGUAAUGGAGGGACAAUCUCCAGCUUCAGUUUCAUCAUCAUCUUCAUCUUUGACUUCGACAUCGCUGUCAUCGGACGCUUCAUUUGAUGAGAGGUUCUACAAGUUGCACACGGACCUGGAAAACAUGAUGUAUUUUGUUUGAAGGGCCAAAACAUGUUCCAUCUCUUUCCCCUGUGUACAGUAGGGUUAGAGAUAGCCAUAAGUCACUGUUCUACUGAAGUGCUCAGAGUCUCUUGACAGUGUCCAUUUUGCUUAAGCAGGCAACGUGGCUUUCUCUUCUUGCUGCAAUACAGGUUUACUCCUUUCUUAAGCACCUAAUAAAGGAGUUUGUGCGUGAAUCUAAUGAGUUUCAAGUCUUUUGUCAAUUGAACAUGCUUACUCUUUUGAAGUUUGUACCAACUCAUGGAUGAAGCGAUUGGACUUGGUAUUUGAUGUUUGUGAUGUCUUUCCUGUGCUCGUGUGUCUGUGUUUGAAAUUAAACUCUGCGGUUUAAAGGAUGUUAUGUUAUUGUGGUUUAAAUGACAUUACAUGCCGGGUGUUUGGCUCUCUAUCUUAGCAUUCUGUUUCCUUCUGAUCAUUGGUAUAUCUGCAGACUGAUUUUCCAUUUUACGUUGCAGCUUUAGAUAGCCAUAAAGGGACACGGUUUAGCAACGACACAGUUUGCCUAAAAAUUUCAUUGAUACCUGAAUUUGCAAAUAGCGUAUAUAUACUGUUCGUGACUAAAAUCAAGCUAAUCUCUGUUACAAAUUAUAGGUAAUUAUCUCUUCAUUUUUUUUCGGAAGCAUACUUCGUUUCAACACUCACAAUGCAGAUUUUAUUAUUUUAUUUUGCUUAAAAAAUGGAGGCUCAUGGGAUUCUACCCCAAAAGUAAUGCUUGAUAAUUGAUCAAAAACAAUAAAAUUAUCUAUUUGGCAAAAGAGAUGUUAAUAAUCAAAUUCUUAAUUCUGUUACAAAUUAUAGGUGGUAUACUGAACCAAUAUGCCAAUCGGUUUUUGGUCAUUGGCCGAGGAAUGGGAGUUUAGGGGGACCGCAGAAGUGGCACAUUAUAGAUUUAUAUGCCAUCUUUGUUUUUCCUACUCAUUUUCAUCUUGUUGGAUUUUCUAACGGUAGUUGACAAACGUGGAGAGGGAAUUUUCUUUUUAACAAGCAUAGCUAAGAACAGAACAUCAACCACAAACCUAAUAGAAAUUUUACCAAGUCAGUAUAUCUUUAUAUAAAUAUAAUUCCAAUACCUUGGAUAUCGAUCGAACCGCCAGCUAGCUGGCAUACACAAAUUAAAUGGGGAAAAGGACAUUCAACCCCUCAACGUUUAGAAAAAAGGACAAAAAAUUUCUCAACGUUUCAAAAAGGACUUAGAACUCUAUUUUGGUUAAUAAACACAGUUUGUUUUAACAGUAAAUUUAUUUUUAAUUUUUAAUUACUAUUAUACCCUUAUAAUAAAUAUAAAUUAAUAUAUUGAUUUGAGGCAUGCCACAAUUAAUAAUUUUUUUAAAACUAAAAAUUGAGAUACAAUUACAUUUUUGCCCAAAUUAUUUGCUAUAAAUUAUACCUUUCUAAUGAUCAAACCUUUCAUAUGUGAUUAUUACUAAUAAAACGAAAUUUGAUUAAACCCUUUUUCUUUGAGGAAUCAAAACGAUAUUAUUAUUGUUAGAAAGGUAUAAUUUAUAGUAAAUAAUUUAGGCAAAAAAAUAAUUGUAUCUCAAUUUUAAGCUUUUAAAAAAUUAUUAAUUGUGAUAUAUCUCAAAUUAAUAUAUUAAUUUUUUAUAAGGGUAUAAUAGUAAUUAAAAAUUAAAAAUAAAUUUACUGUUAAAACAAACGGUGUUUGUUAACGGAAAGGGGGUUAUAAGUCAUUUUUAAAACGUUGAGGGGUUUUUUGUCCAUUUUCCUAAAUGUUGAGGGGUUGAAUGUCCUUUUCCCAAUUAAAUGCAAAAACUUUUACACAUCAAUUAAUCAUUUCAUUGAAAAAUUACAGUUAUGUAAUACAAAACUGUUCAUAUGAAAAAGAAUCAAAAGCACAAUUUUCUCGUAUUGUUCCGAGAGAUCUUUUUAGUUUAAUCAACAAGCACGUUCUUCUCUAUUUUAUUUUAUGUCUGCUUGUUCCUUUCUAUUUCUUUUGUGAAGGUCCAUGGUUUUUGCUCUAUCUAAAUACUGUUGCGUGGUGGUUUUGGGUUCUUUUGCAACGAUUUUCUAUUGAAAUGUGUUUUUUCUAGUAGAUUUAAAACUUUUAAGCUUUUAAACUUUAGAUCUAGAAAAAUACAUUGUGUAGAUUGGUUUCUAUAAGAGAUUUGUUAUUUUAUCAACAAUUAGUGGAGCUAAUAAAAGCGAAAAUUCUUAAAAAAAAGUUUAGGAAUAUUCCUGAUUAUACUAUGACAUAUUGUGUGCAUCUUUAGUGGAGAUAUGCUUUACUGAUAAUCCAGUGCACUCUUUCCUCCCCGUUCGUCAGUAAGCAUUUAAUAGCUCAGUUAAUUUGUUUAUUGUAAUAUAUGUAAUUAUAUGCAUAUUGAACUAAUCGGUAAUGAAUUUCUGCUAAUCUGAACUUUUAAGAUGAAAUGAAAUUUCUACUUACUUGUCCAAAAAAAAAAAAAAAACAACUACGCGCACAUAAUUUUAUAUAUCAAACCUAAUACAUUCUUAAAUCUUGGUAACAUAUAAAUGAUAUUUUCUACUAGAGAUUAGGCUUUACAGAAACUAAACACAGAUUAACAAAACUUUGGAGAGUGAACUAUAUGAUACACAUAUGCGUAAUCCAUGCGCACUAACAAGGAGGAGAAAGCUAGAAGAUUUUUGAAAUUACUGAAGCUUCAAAUUUCUUGCCAUGAUUCUGAAGAGGUCCAAUUACCUCUUUAUCCCAUGCUGAGAAUGCAGAGAAGAAAUGCAAGUAGCUUUUUAGGAUUAUUGGAAGCAAGAGUAACACUUAUGUAGAUGAUCAAGUGUUAAUGUGUUAUCGUAUAUACCUUAAGUUUUUGUGAGUCUCUCUAAUGAAAGGGAAGCGAGUGUUCGCUCCUCGAGAGCUCUGUCAUAGCGCGAUGAUUCCAGCAAUGGUGGCAUGACGAAAGUCAAAUGAUAGAAAGAAACAUACCACGUUUUCAUACUUGCUGUACAAUGAAUCGUGCGAGUACGGUUUAGCAAUCUAGCGGUCAAACAUGCCCUUGCAAAUGCUAUCUUUUGAUCGUUUAGUCCCCAUACAAUUUGAGGAACCUCCAAGAACUUAUCUUUACGAAUUCCAGAAUCAGAAUCCGCAGACAAAUAUCGAGUUUGGAUAAAUUCAACGCUCUUCGGUUCAAUCCCAACAAAUCCAAAAAAGGAAGGCAGCCAUGCAGUUCUCAUAAACAGAGCAACAACAACCAAAACAAGACGUUUGCAUGUCAAAGAACCCAUUUUUGAGCGAGAGCCAAACAAUCUUUAACUUUUACAAAUAAAUAACAAAUCCAUUCAAAUAUUUCCAACCCAAACAUAGUUUACAGCUUUUCCAUAACAACUCUGUGCUCAAACGAUCCGAUUCAGUCAGAAGAAAAGCUUGCACAUACCCAGAAAUUUAAUCACUUGCUGAAAAUCCAAUAAAUAAUGCAAGAUUCAGUCCAAAACAGGACCAAACCAGCCAACCUUACAUAAUCAUGACAACCAAGAAAAGUUAAAGCUAAUGUAAAUAACGAAAUACAUAUUAAACAAAUAAUAAAUGAAAACUACUUGUCCACAUUAAUAUAUUUUAUAAAAAUAAAUACCAAAGUUGGUUGGUGUGAGUGGUUCGGCACUCUCACUCCUUAAGAGAGGUCAGAGGUUCAAGCCCCGCUCUCGUAUGGAGUCGCUACUUUGGCAAGCACUUUACCCCUUACGGGCCGACCUGGUGCGAGCGAGGAUUAGUCUGGGUUGUGGUAUGGGUUGGUUGGUGUGAGUGGUUCGGCACUCUCACUCCUUAAGAGAGGUUAGGGAUUCAAGCUCUGCUCUCAUAUGGAGUCACUACUUUGGCCAGCACUUUACCCCUUACGGGCCAACCCAGUGCUAGCAGGAAUUAGUCUGGGUUGUGGUAUAGGCUUAAAGGUGCCUCCCACAGUUGGGGCCCACUCAGGACCACCUCGUGGUUUAGACAAAAAAAUAAUAAUAAUAAAUUGGAGGGAGAAAAAGAAGGGAAAUAAAAUCACAAGAAAGAGAGGUGAGAAAUUGUGAUUUUGUUAAAAAUGGGAUUCAAUUAAAUAAAUAACACCAAAAGAGGAAGUGAAAGUGUCAGGGUCAAAGCCAGAUAGUUAGGAGAAACCAAAAUCAAAUGAAAGGACCCAUUUUGGAUUUUAUAAUGAAACCAGAGUACUUAAUUAUUUAACCAGAAACCUCAAUUAACUUAAUUGAUCAAGAACAUUCAAGAGUCAAUCAGAAACAAUCUAAAGAACAAGUAAUAGGAAGGAAACCAGAGAAUCAACACCUAGUAAAAUAAUGUGGUUUGGUACCAAGGUACUUACAUCAUUGGCUGAAGAACCCAGCAACGCUUGAAGCUUUUAUUGUUCAAAUUGAUUACAAUGAAACUUUAAAAUAUCAUAACUAAAUCUCUCUUACAGAGUAUUUUCUAUCUCGCUCUCUAAGGCACUGAAAAAUUUAAUCCAAAAUGAUCUUCUAAUAAGGUCGCCUUAGGCUUAUGUCCAGCACUAGAAUACAGUUGUUAGCUGUAACAGCUUUAACCACCAGCUGGUCCCCACACACGCACUGACUCUGCUUGCCACCUCAUCAAUGAGUAAUAGAAUUUAACUAACUACUUCAUAAAUCUCCCCCUUAAUUUAAUUAUACUGCUACUUCACUCAUCACUGCUUCAACAUCUGUUAACUUGACUUACAAGUUAACAACCCCAACUAAGUCCAAUGAGUUUUUGAACUUGAUUGUUGGCACUGUUGUUGUUAAUAUGUCUGCUGGAUUAUCUUCAGAUGAAAUCUUGACAACAUUUAUCACUCCACAAUCAAUUUCACCCUUAUAAAGUGCAUCCUCACAUCAAUAUACUUAGUUCUCUCAUGGUAUUUGGGAUUUUUACUCAAUUGUUUAGCACUUGAGCUAUCGUAGCUAAUUGAAAUUGAUUUUUGAUUAAGCCCCAGUUCAUACACUAAGCCUUUAAGCUAUAUUGUUUUUUUAGCAACUUCUGUAAGAGCAAUAUACUUUGCUUCAGUUGCUGAGAGAGUUACUGCUAACUGUAAUGAAGCUUUCCGGCUCGCUUCAGCUCCACAAAAAGCAGACACAAAGCCUAUAAUUGAUCUCCUUUUAUCAAGGUUUCUUGCAAAGUCUGAGUCCACAAACCCAAAAACUUGAAUUGUAGCUUCAUUGACCCUUCCAUAUAAAAUACCAUGCCCUACAACUCCUCUAAGAUAUUUUAAAAUCCAUUUAACACCAUGCCGAUCCUCCUUGCCUGGAUUCCUCAUUAAUCUGCUAACAACUCAAACUCAAUAUGCUCUAUCAGGUCUAGAACACACCAUGGCAUACAUGGUGCUACCUACGGUACUAGGAUAAUGGAUCUUUCUCAUAUAUUCCAUGUAUUAUGGAAUUACUGUUUUUAAUGAAUGAAAUAAAGAAAACCAAUGUUGUAGUCUUGUAGAUAACGAGACUGAAUAACAUAGACCAAUUGACAAUUGCUUGCAUUAGUAUCAAAUGUGUGUAAUAUUCAUAGUUCUCCAUAAGAGUUUAUAUAGAUUAGGUGCAUCACUUCAACAUCUAUUAUAAACCAUCUAAUUGGCCUAAAUAACGAGUUAUUACUAGUCAGGUGCAUUGAUUUAGUAUGUUGAGAAGGUGUACCUGACCAAUGUAAGUUUUUUCUCACAGUUUCCAAAUGUGACACACACACAGGGGCGGAGGGUGCUAAGGGCGAUGGGGGGCCAUGGCCCCCCACCAAUAAUUUUUUUUUGAAGUUUUAAAUAAAAGUAAAAAAAUAAAUUAAAUAAACAUAAAAUGUUGGCCCCGGUAGAAAUAUUUUGCACAUACUAUUACUAACAUAAGAUAAUUUUAUAAUCAAUAAAAAGCCUUACAACUUACAAGAAAAGCCCAAUAGAGAUAGCGUUCUUUUUACGAUUAAUCAAUUUGAUCAUCAACGUUUACUAAUUGGUUAGCCAACUGUUGCGGCAAGAACAAAUUGUUGCGGCAAAAACUCAUCACAAAUCGCACUUCACUUGGAAUUUAGGUGAGUUCAACACAUUCUCUUAAAAUUUAUUAAGAAUGGAAAGAACUGAUAAAGGAGAUAGAUGUUACGGUAGUCGGUAGUUGUCUUGUCUACGGUCCUGAUAGGCAGUUGAAUGAAAUACUGAAAUUGUCAAUUAGGGCGAAUGUUGUUGCUGAGUUGCUUGACGAUAUUCCUGAAAUUUAAUCAUUAUCUAACAUCUUUUAAUUUGUAAUUUAUGUACUGCUUUCAACAAUUGGAGAUUUUUUUCUAUUGAAUUAAAAUCAAGCUUGUCUAGUUUCUUGGAGUUUAAUCAAUCUCUGUUGCAUUAAUUUCUUUCUUUUUGCUUUUUUAGAAACCUGUGCUAUGAUCAAUGACUCAAAGAUCUAAGCAUCAAUGAUUAUAUUUGAAUUUUGCCUGGCACUGAUGCUUGACAGUUAUUCUAUAACUUAACUUAUUGACAUUUAGUUUGGUUUGCAAGUAAUGACUAAUGAGUUUGACCAUGUCAUUGCUAUUCAGGUCAGAAAUCAUUUGGACAAUCUCUUUACAAAAAGCACUCCAGAUUUUACUCAAUUUCAGUUCAAUAUACGGUAUGUUCAAUUUAUUUCCUGCUUGAUUUUUUUAUGGUUUAAAUAUCUAUUGCUUUAGAUUGUCAAUUAUUCUAUCUAAUACGCUUCUCUUGAUUAGUAACUUACAUCUCACAAUUUCCUUGUUGAUUGAAUUCCAGGGGUAGGGAGGAUAUAGAUGGGAAAAUCAUCUAAAAUUGAUCAAUAUUUCAAAAGGAAGACAUUAGAAGAAAGUUCUAAUCCACUAGUUUCUGAAAAUUCACCAAUUUCACAUGUCAAUUCUCCAAAUUUUGAAAACCAACUUUCAAAAUCUCCAAGAAUUGAGACAAGUAAAGUUGAUACUCAGCUUGUAGAGCGUGAUCCAGGAUUGCGCCCCAGAUUUGGGAUUAUGAUGUCAAUCAACAAGAUGAAAUUCGAAGAGCAUAUAUUAUGUCGGGUCCAUACCAACCGAGACUUCCAGAGUAUCCAAAAUCUGGAUCAGAAAAGCAUCCUCGUCGAUUUCAAUCUCUAUGGUUUGAUUCUUUUCCUUCUUGGUUAGAGUAUUCACCUACAAAAGAUGCAGCCUUUUGUCUACCAUGUUAUCUAUUUAAUGCACCAUUUGCACAGCCUAAGCAUACUGCUUUCACUGUUGAAGGAUUUAAUUCUUGGAAGAAGGUUAGAGAUGGAAAAAAUUGUGCAUUCCUUAAUCAGGUGGGAAAGCAUCCUAACUCAACUCAUAAAAAGACUGAAAGAUCAUGUGAGGAUUUGAUGAGACAAUCUCAGCAUCUAGUGCAGGUACUUAAUCGAUACUCUUUCCAAGAAAUUACAAAUAAUAGACUGCGAUUAAAAACCACAAUUGAAGUUAUUAGAUAUCUUGUUUUCAAGGUUUUGCUUUUAGAGGUCAUGAUGAAGUGAAAAGUCAUCAAACCGUGGAAAUUUUAUUCAAUUACUCAAAGCAUUUGGUUCCAACAAUGAAAAGGUAGCAGAAGUGAUACUAGAUAAAGCACCAAAGUUUGCCUCAUAUACAUCACCGGAUAUCCAAAAGGAAAUUUUACAUGUCUUUUCAAUGAGAGUGAAAAACACAAUUCGUGAAGAAAUAAGAGAUGCCAAGUUUUGCUUAAUUGUGGAUGAAUCACGUGAUGAGUCAAAAAAAGAACAAAUGGCAAUAGUUUUAAGAUUUGUUGACAAUAAUGGUUUUCUUCAAGAACGUUUUUUUGGUCUUGUUCAUGUCUCAAACACUUCUGCAGCAACCUUGAAAGAUGGAAUACACUAUGUAUUGUCUCAUCACAAUUUGAAUAUUCAAAAUAUUCGUGGGCAAGGAUGCGAUGGUGCAAGCAACAUGCGAGGUGAAUGGAAAGGCUUACAAGCUUUGAUUUUAAAAGAUUGUCCUUAUGCUUAUUACAUUCAUUGUUUAGCUCAUCGACUACAGUUGGCUUUAGUUGCAGUAUCUCAUGAGGUUGUUCAUGUUCAUCAUUUCUUUACUAAAUUGACUUCUAUUGCGAAUAUUGUUGGGGCUUCUUGCAAGCGUCAUGAUGAACUCAAGCGUGCUCAGGCUGCUGAUAUUCAGUAUAUGAUCUCCAUUGAUGAGCUUGAGAGUGGAAGAUGACUUAAUCAAAUUGGUACUUUACCAAAGCCUGGAGAUACUCGUUGGAGUUCUCACUUUAGAUCAGUCUCUAACUUAAUAAAAAUGUUCAGUGCUACAUGUUCAGUUUUACUUAAUAUCAUUUAAUACGGGACAACUGCUUUUCAACGGGGAGAUGCUGAUGCUGCAUAUGAGGUAAUGACAACUUUUGAGUUUGUUUUUAUCUUGUAUGUGAUGAAAGAAAUUAUGGCAAUUACUGAUAUACUUUGCCAAGCUUUGCAAUCUAAGUCUCAAGAUAUUUUACAUGCCAUGCAUCAGGUUUCAUCAACUAAAGCACUUAUUCAGAAAUUGAGAGAUAAUGGGUGGAAUACUUUACUUGAUCAAGUGAAAGUAUUUUGUGAAACAAGAAAUAUAGAUGUCCCAGAAAUGGAUGCUCCUUAUGUUGAAAGACAAGGUCGAGCCCGUCAUCAAGAAGAUACUUUUACUGUUGCUGACCAUUACCGGGUAAAUAUUUUUUAUGCUGCUAUAGAUUGCCAAUUACAAGAACUGAAUAGUCGAUUUAAUGAACAUGCAGUAGAUUUGCUUUUCUUAGUUCAACACUUGAUCCUCGUGAAUGUAGAAAGUCUUUUAGAAUUGGUGAUAUUUGUCAGUUGGUUGAGGGGUUUUAUCCAGCAGACUUUAUAGAUGCUGAGAAAAUAAAUCUGAAAAAUCAGCUUGAGCAUUAUGAGUAUGGUGUAGUCCAAUAUGCAGAGUUCAAAAAUUUAUCAACCAUUUGUGACUUGAGUCAAUGGUUGGUCAGUACAAGGAAAGCAAAAACAUUUCCUCUUAUCUAUAGAAUAAUUGUUCUUGUGCUAACUCUUCCAGUGUCAACUGCAACUUCAGAACGGUCAUUUUCAGUUAUGCGUAUAGUCAAGACAAGACAUCGCAACAAAAUGGAGGAUGAAUUUCUUACAGACUCUUUGAUUAUGUACAUUGAAAGGGAAAUUGCUGAAAAAAUAAGUAUUGAAUCAAUAAUCAAUGAGUUUCGAGAUAUAAAAGAACGUCGAGUUCGUUUUUUAUGUUGGGGAUCUUGAUUUUGAUAGCGAUUUUGUAGGGGAGGGGACUCUUUUGGUUUGUAAUUGUUUUUCUUUUUAUAUUAAAAUACAAUCUUUUAAUUAAUUAUUUACAUUAAAUAAUUACCUUAUAUUUUUUUUAAUACUUUUAUUUGUUAUUUAAUUUUAUCCUUUAAGAAUUUCAAAAUGUAUAGAUUUGGCCCCCAUAGAGAUCUGGCUUGAGCUCCGCCCCUACACACACAUAUAUAUGAUUUUAAAUUAAUUAAAAUAAUAUAAUAUCUACUUAAAAAAUAUCAUUUCCACCAAGGCGUAAGGAGAUUUUUAUUGGCUGGAUGCCUCCCCCAUGGCCAUGGUGCAAGUUGAACACAGAUGGGUCCUGUAAACAUACAGGAGCAGCUGCAGCGGGUGGGGUUAUUCGCGACUCCGUUGGUCACUGGGUCUCAGGUUUUAGUAUGAAUAUUGGGGAAAGCUCAGUGAUUAUGGCUGAACUUUGGGGCCUGUAUCAAGGAUUGUCCCUCGCCUGGAAUGUUGGGAUCAGACACCUUUUGGUGGAAGUAGACAGCCUCUGUGUAACUCAGAUGAUUUCUCAGCAGGUGGUUGUGCCUAAUGUAUCCUACGCUUUAGUGGUGGCAAUUCGUGAUUUUUUAAACAGAAAUUGGCAAAUUAAUAUCACGCAUAUCUACCGUGAAGCGAACUCAGCUGCGGAUUUCAUGGCAAAUAUGGCCCAUUUAGUACCGCAUGGUUUACAGUUAUUCUCUAACCCGCCUGCGGGUAUUUAUUCUAUUCUUUCACAAGACAUGUAUGGGGUUUGUCAACCCCGCUUUAUUCCUAUCUAGCUCACCUUGAUGAGCCCCUUUUAAUAAAAAAAAAAAAAAUAGCUCAUCCUUAGUUGGCUUUGAAUUAAGGUUACCUUUAUUUGAUUGAAUAACGUUGUUGACAUUAUAUAGUCAAAGAUAAAAACAUAAUGAUGAUAAGAUUUUUAAAUAACAAUAACGAUAAAUUUAUAAAGUUGGAAUACAAAUUUUUACUAACGUAGUAAUUAAUGUGACAUUAUCACAUGACAUUAUCUUAUUAGAUCAUGUAAUAAUUAGCUAUUGAACUUUAUCAUUUCAUAUCAAUUGGGAAAAAACGUUCUAUAAAUUUAUUAUUAGUAAUGGAUUCCAUUUAAAAUAUUUAAAAAGACAAAAUGAAAUCAAAUAAAUGUAACUUUAAAAAGGGACUGUUGUAUCUUACAAUAAUUUUUGUCUUUUGUGACUGAGUUAUUGUAAAAUUCCAUUGAGCUCGUUGUACUCUGUUUUGUUGAUAAUUUUAUUAAAAAGUAUUAUAUACUUUCUACUUAUAUUAUCAAAAUUCAAUUUAUCACCUUAUACUCUUUUGUAUUUACUAUUUUUUGUUAGUAUUAGAGGAGUUUUUAUUUACAACCACAACACAUUGAUCAUCAUAACACACUAAUAUCAAUAAAAAGAUAAAAUUACCCUUAAAUUAGUACAAAAAAUUGAGGAAUCACGAUGGCUCUUCUUCUAUCACUCAUCGUCAACAAAAUUUUCAAGGAUACGACCAAUUAUCUUCGUUACAAUAUCAUCUCAUAAUAAUUAAUCCUUUCAUAGAAAAAAAUUAAUUAAAAAAAAAAAUUCAUUUGAAUCCAUCUCUCUCCACUAUCAAUUUCUCUUCAUCAUCGUAUUUUACUAAUGGCAAGCUAAUAGUCAAGGACACCAUCAAUCUAAUCUUCACUGACUGAACCAUUGUCACCCCAAGUGGUAUCCGCCACUACGUAAUUUGUUUGUUUUUUCAAAUGGACAGCCGUAAUUUUCCUUCAUCAUCGACCCAACACAUUUUCUUUUCUCCGAAUCAGAUGGUUACAAUAAAAAAUUUCAGGCUUUAAACUAUUGUUGUGGUCAUUAUAAUGUCAUUUGUAUGUUGUUGAUAGAUAGAAAGCAAUCUAAAGGGAACUAAAGUCGUAAAAAGAAAUUAUCCAUGAUUGUAAAACCAUUACUCCAAGUUAAGUCUUCAACUCUCUGUUAAUUUUCACUUUAAAAACCUACGAUGCCAUUUUAAAUCAAUAAAUCAAAAUGGAUGACUCUAGCUUUGCAAUUUUGAUCUGCAUGGCUUUGCUUUGCAGUAAUGGCGUAAUCUCGAGUGCCGUCUCCAAUGAAGACUCCACUAGAAGCAGUGCCAUUGGCAUUGAAGACUCCGUUGGCUGGCUACUUCACUGUCUCCCUUGAGUGCUCCACUUGCGGCCGCGCCCUCUCCAGUCACUAUCAGCUCUUCGUCGUCACCUCUUCCGUUUUAUUCUUCUCCGACACCAGCAAAUUUUCCAUCACCAAUCUCAAUGUCUCCAUCUGAUGCUCUUGCUCCGUUUUGAACAGAUUUGCCGUUUUUGGAUCUCUAGCUUUCGGGCUAUUUGUUGCCGUUUUGGUUAUAUAGAGUUCACUGAGUGAAAGAUCAAUUUAUUAUUAUAUUUGGACAAAAUUUUUAUUCCAUUUUUUUAUUAUUUACAUAAUUUGUACUCAUAGAAAUUAUUCUUUUAAUUUAAUUUACUUCUUAUUAUAUUUUUUUCUGGUUAAAAAAAAUUAUACAUUGAUUGUGGAAACAGAAAAUCAUAAAUGAUAAAUAUCCAAACUCAAAACCUUAGCCACUAUGACCACCACCGCAGUCACUACGAAAGACACCCACAAAGCAAUUAAGCCAGCCGCUGCCAGUAGCAACAUUUUCAGCCUCUGCAAACUAAAAUACCACCACCCGCCUUCCUUAGCCAACACAAGAACCAAACAAUCAAACCUACAGGUACUUGUCCUCAAAUCGACCGUCGUUCAGCAACUUCUGUCAAUGAUCGAAGUCACCAUUAGACUCAUCAUCAGAGAGAGAGAGAGAAUGAGAGAGGAGAAUAAGAAACGAGAAAACAAAAUAUAUGAAAUUUUUAGAAUUUUAUUAUUUUCAACAAGUUUAAGGGUAAUUUUGUCUUUUUAAAUUUAAUACUCAUGAAUAAAUUAUAAAUAAAAUAGAGUGUAAGGACUUAAUAAAAUUUUAUAAUAUUUUAAUACUUACAAAAAUUAAUAAAUAAAUAAAAAUAAAAGAUGAUGAUAAAUUGAAUUUUAAUUGUGUAGGACUUGUAGCUAAGUAAAAAGUAUUAUAAUACUUUUUAAUAAAUUAUAAGUAAAAUAGAAUAUAUGGGGGUAAAUGAAAUUUUACAAAGAGAAAAGCUUACAACGGUGCCCACACAGCCGACCCUCUAAAAAGUUGAGAGCUAAUGUUUUAAUAUUUACUUUGGGUUUGGUCUGCUGACGUCAAAAGAUGUCAGCUUUCCGUCCCAUACAAACUAAACAUUCCCUUCUUUGAUGGGCUGAAUUUAAACAACAUCCCGCGGGAAAGAAGGCGUUUGUUUUUAUUUUAUUUAUUUCUCCAGAAGUUCUUUCAAUCAUAAAAUCUUCCUUCAGAAGUUGUUUGAUUUAUAAAAUAAGUAUAUAUUAUAUAAAUAACACCUUUAAUUUGUUUUUAAAUACAAAAUCACUUAAAUUAAUUAAAAAUAAAUAAAAUGAAAGGAUCGGGAUGUAUGGAUUCAUCGAAGCUUCUGGAAUUGCUAAUAUUCCAAUUCCAAAUCCAAUCUCUUCUUACUCGUUGCUGCUGCUUCUUUGUUACUUCUUUUUGUAACUUUCAGUUUAAAAAAGAAAAGAAAAAGAAAUGACAGUUUGUUUACCCAAUUAAGGCUCUUCAGAAUCCGUAAGCAGCAAGUAAGGAAUUGCACGCGAGGGACAUUUAGGUGAAUUCAGGUAGAGACUGUACUAUAAAAUGUAAGAUCGUAGAAUUCUGACACACACUUUCUGCGCGCUUUGGCCUUAAUUAUUCAUUUUUAUUGUUUGGUAAUUGGUAAGAAGAGUUUAGUGCUGAGUUGAGACGGCGUAGUAACUCGUGAUUUGAUUGAUUUUGUUCCCGAAUUGAAGUCCAAUGGAGAGAGAAGGCUACAGAGGAAGAGGCCGCGGAAGAGGCGGAAGAGACGGCGGUUCCAGAGGCGGAAGUACCGGCGGUGGAGACUUUCGUGAUCAUCAGCCUCGACCUCAGCAGCUUCAAUGGCGGAGGUCGGCUCCGUCCCCGGGACACGGCAGUUCUUCCCCGCCGGUGAGACCGUGGUCUGGACCGAUGUCUCCUGCCGUCAGAGCUCCGUCGCCACAGCCACGGCCUCAGUCUCCGCCCGGCCCUUCUGCUGCACCGGUUGUUCGACCUCCUGUUGGCGGUAUGAUUCAUUCUCUUUUGAAUUCUGUGGAAAAGUGGUUCUUUUUCUUUCAGAUUGAUUUCUUUUUUUCUUUUUGGACAUCUUCAUUUAAAUAAACAAAAAAAAAAUUGUCACUUUUAUCUGUGUUUAAAAUACAAUGUAUUAUGAUAUUGUAUGUAUUUCUUAACUUGUGGUUUGUGAUAAUAUUGACGUUCCUAUCGAAUUUGUUCUUAAUUCUUAAGAAAGGGAAAUGGAACUGUUUUCAAGGACUAGGAGCAUGUAAUUGCACCAAAAUGAGUGUAAAUGGAAUUAGAUUAUUUGUCAGGAGUGAUUUUAUGUAUUGAUUGCUGAUUUUAUUGUUCCAGAAAUUCAAAAAUUGAAGAUCUCGGAGCCGGUGGCUUCAUCUUCUUCUUCAUCUUCACAAAAUGCAACCAGAUAUACUCCAAUUAAACGCCCAGAUAGAGGUGGCACACUUGCCAUCCGAACUGUCAACAUUUUCGUCAACCAUUUUCUAGUCAAUUUUUCUCCUGAGAGUAUCAUUAGACAUUAUGACAUUGAUGUUAAACCUGACAUAGGCCCCAAUCAUGGUCGGCCUGUGAAAUUGUCCAAGACUGUCUUGGCUAUUGUCAGGAACAAGUUGUGUGAGGACUAUCCUGAUCAGUUUCCUCUGUCGAUGACCGCUUAUGAUGGUGAGAAGAAUAUAUUCAGUGCUAUUGAAUUGCCAACUGGUAAAUUUAAUGUGAAGUUCCUAGAAGGAGAAGACAUGAAGUAUCGUACUUACAUAUUGACCUUAAAGCUUGUGAAUGAGCUGAAGCUUUGCAAGUUGAACGAGUACUUGAAGGGGAAUCUCUUUUCCAUUCCCCGUGAUAUAUUACAAGCAAUCGAUAUAGUAAUGAAGGAGAAUCCUACUCGGUGUAUGAUUUCUGUUGGUCGAAGUUUCCACCCUGUUGAACCUCUUCCAGAUGAUUACCUUGGGUAUGGCCUCACAGCAUCUAGAGGGUUUCAACAUGGCCUGAAGCCCACCUCCCAGGGUUUGGUGUCGUGUUUGGACUACUCUGUUUUGGCAUUUCGUAAGCGUUUGCCAGUUAUAGAUUUUUUGCAGGAGCACAUUAAUUUUGAUGUGAAUGGUUUUAGAGAUUGGAGGAAAGUUGAGAAUGCAUUGAAAGGCUUGAAAGUUACCGUAAUUCACCGUCAGACCAAACAAAAAUACAGUGUUGCUGGGUUGACUAGGGAGACCACACGGCGUCUUUCAUUCACUCUUGCAGACCCAGAGGGCAGGGAUCCACCAAGAGAAGUCAGACUUGUUGAUUAUUUCAGGGAAAAGUAUGGCAAGGAUAUUAUGUACAAAGAUAUUCCUUGUUUAGAUUUAGGAAGAAAUAAUCGAAAAAACCAUGUGCCUAUGGAGUUCUGUGUCUUAGUUGAAGGGCAGAUAUAUCCGAAAGAGUAUCUGGAUAGAGAUACUGGUUUAUUUUUGAAGAAUAUGUCACUGGCUAAGCCAGGGGAUAGACAGAGCAUGAUAUCUCAAAUGGUACUGUCAAGAAUUGGACCAUGCGGGUAUGUAACUGCAACUUUUUUGUUUUCUAUAUAUGAGAAUUCAGAAAUUUCUGUACAAGUUCAAUUCUUGCAUAAACUGAUUUUGGAUGGUUUAAUCAUUGGGUUAUAGAUUAGUGUCUUUAAUUUUUUUUUUUUUUAAAUAUUAGGGAAACAAUUGUUGUGAAAAAUAGUUCUCUUCGAUUAUAUCCUUCUUUUUGAGUUCAUAAUGAUCUCAUUUUAAAGCUGAUUGAUUCAUAAGUAUUUUAGUCUGAAGUUUUUCUGCGUGCAAAUACUGUACUUUUUUCUGCUUAGCUUUUCUAGACAAUCUGCAUCAUUCAUGGUUGAUCACAUUAAUUUUGACAUUGAAUUUAGUAAACCUAUGCAUUUUUAUGCUAAAGUCAAAUGCAUCUAUGCCGACUGAUGGAGUAAAUAGUAUGCCACUGUAAUUUGGCUUAAUCCUAAUUUUUCACAAUUUCAUUGGCAGAGGGGAGAUCACUCGUAACUUUGGUAUUGAUGUCAAUACAAACAUGACCAAUGUUGUGGGACGCGUCCUUGGGCCACCGGAUUUGAAGCUAGGUGCUCAUGGUGGAAAGGCGUUAAGAAUAACUGUAGAUGGUGAGAAAUGUCACUGGAGUCUUGUUGGAGGAAGAGCUUUUGUGGAAGGUAAACGAAUCGAUCGAUGGGCUGUAGUUGACUUCAGCGCUUCUGAACGAUAUGAUAGACUUUAUCAAGACCAAUUUAUUGAUAAAAUUAUGGCUCGGUGCAAGACUCUAGGCAUGGACAUGCAGUGGCCUGUCUUAUGUGAACCUGCUUCAAUGCGUCUGUUCUCUAAUGUUGGAGGGCUUCAGGAACUCCUUGAAGAUGUUACUUCAAGGGCUUACAAAAUUGGCAAAGGUCAUCUGCAGAUUCUUAUUUGUGUAAUGUCUCGGAAGGAUGAUGGUUACAAGUAUCUCAAGUGGAUUUCUGAGACUAAAGUUGGUGUGGUGACUCAGUGUUGUUUGUCCACGAAAGCCAACAAAGGUAAAGGUCAAGAUCAAUAUCUUGCCAAUCUUGCACUGAAGAUCAAUGCAAAGCUUGGAGGCAGCAACGCAGAGCUCAUUGACAGGCUGCCUUACUUCAAUGGUGAAGACCAUGUUAUGUUUUUAGGUGCAGAUGUUAAUCAUCCUCGUGCGAAAGACAAAACUAGUCCAUCUAUAGCAGCUGUUGUUGCCACUGUAAAUUGGCCUGCUGCGAACAGAUAUGUGGCGAGGGUGCGGCCCCAAGAUCAUAGGACAGAGAAAAUUCUGAAUUUUGCUGAGAUGUGCUUGGAGCUUUUUAAAUAUUAUGUUCAGUUGAAUAAAGUCAGGCCACAAGAGAUUGUAGUGUUUCGAGAUGGAGUAAGCGAGGGCCAGUUCGAUAUGGUUCUCAAUGAAGAGUUGGUACCACUAAAGAUGGCAUUCAGAUCAAUGGAUUACCACCCAAGAAUCACACUUAUUGUGGCCCAGAAGCGACAUCAAACUCGUCUAUUUCCAAAGGGUAGGAUGGAUGGAACCUCCAGUGGCAAUGUGCCACCAGGGACAGUUGUGGACACAAAUAUUGUGCACCCUUUUGAGUUUGAUUUUUACCUUUGUAGCCACUACGGAAGCCUUGGAACAAGCAAGCCCACUCACUACUAUGUCUUAUGGGAUGAGCACGGGUUAACUUCUGAUCAGUUGCAGAAGCUCAUAUAUAACAUGUGCUUCACCUUUGCUCGGUGUACUAAGCCUGUGUCAUUGGUACCGCCCGUGUACUAUGCCGACCUUGCUGCGUACAGAGGGCGCUUGUACUGUGAUGCAGUAAUGGAGGGGCAAUCUCCAGCUUCAGUGUCAUCAUCGCCUUCAUCUUUGACUUCA
rnacentral:lncRNA from 1 species